CAAUAGCGUAUAUUAAAGUUGUUGCAGUUAAAAAGCUCGUAGUUGGAUCUGUGGUGUGCGGUGGGCUCCGGGCACUUGUUGUCUGAGUAGCUCGCCGCUGCCAUCCUUGGGUGGAACCUGUGUGGCAUUAGGUUGUCGUGCAGGGGAUGCCCAUCGUUUACUGUGAAAAAAUUAGAGUGUUCAAAGCAGGCUUAUGCCGUUGAAUAUAUUAGCAUGGAAUAAUGAGAUAGGACUUUUUCGCUAUUUUGUUGGUUUGCGCGAAGAGGUAAUGAUUAAUAGGGACAGUUGGGGGUAUUCGUAUUCCAUUGUCAGAGGUGAAAUUCUUGGAUUUUUGGAAGACGAACUACUGCGAAAGCAUUUACCAAGGAUGUUUUCAUCAA
rnacentral:rRNA from 1 species